rnacentral:rRNA from 1 species
AUCUUAAAUCUAGCUUAAAUAUAAAAAACUACCCCUUAACACACAAACAUUAUUUUAUGAUAGU